rnacentral:rRNA from 1 species
AAUGAACGCUGGCGGCGUGCUUAACACAUGCAAGUCGUGCGCGAGGGUGACUUCGGUUGCCUGAGAGCGGCGAACGGGUGCGUAACGCGUGGAUAACCUGCCCAGAGAUGGGGGAUAACUCAGGGAAACUUGAGCUAAUACCGCAUACGUCGGCUGAGCCUUGGCUUGGUCGGCAAAGAUGGCCUCUACUUGUAAGCGAUUGUCUUUGUAGGGGUCCGCGUCUGAUUAGCUAGUUGGCGGGGUAAUGGCCCACCAAGGCUACGGUCAGUAGCCGGCCUGAGAGGGUGAUCGGCCACACUGGAACUGAGACACGGUCCAGACUCCUACGGGAGGCAGCAGUGGGGAAUAUUGGACAAUGGGCGCAAGCCUGAUCCAGCAACGCCGCGUGGGGGAUGAAGGUCUUCGGAUUGUAAACUCCUGUCAGGCGGGACGAAGGGGCGCGACCUAAUACGUCGUGUCUUUGACGGUACCGCCAGAGGAAGCCCCGGCUAACUCCGUGCCAGCAGCCGCUGUAACAC